AAAACAUUGCCAUUUUUAUUUGUUUUUAUUUUUAAACUGCAAAAAGAAAUGAAAAACAGGGAAUACCGCUUUUAACUGAAAAACAUCCUUUUAUUAAUGAUGCAAAUUUGCAAAUUUAAACAUGAGGUGGCCCUUACAAUGGACCAUUACGUGUCGGGCAACACAUAAGGCUUUCAUGCAUAUAAGACUAAAAACAGGAAAAAUAUUACUCUUCCAGCAGAGUGACCCGGAUGAUCUCUUCAGCCCUCCA
rnacentral:lncRNA from 1 species